GUGGGGAAUAUUGGGCAAUGGGCGAAAGCCUGACCCAGCAACGCCGCGUGAAGGAAGAAGGUUUUCGAAUCGUAAACUUCUAUCCUUGGUGAAGAUAAUGACGGUAGCCAAGAAGGAAGCCCCGGCUAACUACGUGCCAGCAGCCGCGGUAAUACGUAGGGGGCAAGCGUUGUCCGGAAUGAUUGGGCGUAAAGGGCGCGUAGGCGGCCCGGUAAGUCUGAAGUGAAAGUCCUGCUUUUAAGGUGGGAAUUGCUUUGGAUACUGUCGGGCUUGAGUGCAGGAGAGGUAAGCGGAAUUCCCGGUGUAGCGGUGAAAUGCGUAGAGAUCGGGAGGAACACCAGUGGCGAAGGCGGCUCACUGGCUCGAUACUGACGCUGAGGUGCGAAAGCGUGGGGAGCAAACAGGAUUAGAAACCCUGGUAGUCC
rnacentral:rRNA from 1 species